UACAGAGGUCUCAAGCGUUGUUCGGAUUCAUUGGGCGUAAAGGGCGCGUAGGCGGCUCGGCACGUCCGUUGUGAAAUCGCCCGGCUCAACUGGGCGGGGUCAGCGGAUACGGUCGAGCUUGAGCAAGCUAGGGGGUAAUGGAAUUCCCGGUGUAGUGGUGGAAUGCGUAGAUAUCGGGAGGAACACCAGUGGCGAAGGCGGUUACCUGGGGCUUUGCUGACGCUGAUGCGCGAAAGCGUGGGGAGCGAUCCGG
rnacentral:rRNA from 1 species